GAUGAACGCUGGCGGCGUGCCUAAUACAUGCAAGUCGAGCGAACAGACGAGGAGCUUGCUCCUCUGACGUUAGCGGCGGACGGGUGAGUAACACGUGGAUAACCUACCUAUAAGACUGGGAUAACUUCGGGAAACCGGAGCUAAUACCGGAUAAUAUAUUGAACCGCAUGGUUCAAUAGUGAAAGACGGCUUUGCUGUCACUUAUAGAUGGAUCCGCGCCGCAUUAGCUAGUUGGUAAGGUAACGGCUUACCAAGGCAACGAUGCGUAGCCGACCUGAGAGGGUGGUCGGCCACACUGGAACUGAGACACGGUCCAGACUCCUACGGGAGGCAGCAGUAGGGAAUCUUCCGCAAUGGGCGAAAGCCUGACGGAGCAACGCCGCGUGAGUGAUGAAGGUCUUCGGAUCGUAAAACUCUGUUAUUAGGGAAGAACAAAUGUGUAAGUAACUAUGCACGUCUUGACGGUACCUAAUCAGAAAGCCACGGCUAACUACGUG
rnacentral:rRNA from 1 species